AGAGUUUGAUCCUGGCUCAGGACGAACGCUGGCGGCGCGCCUAACACAUGCAAGUCGAACGAGAGAGAAGGAGCUUGCUUCUUCGAUCGAGUGGCGAACGGGUGAGUAACGCGUGAGGAACCUGCCUCAAAGAGGGGGACAACAGUUGGAAACGACUGCUAAUACCGCAUAAGCCCACGGGUCGGCAUCGACCAGAGGGAAAAGGAGCAAUCCGCUUUGAGAUGGCCUCGCGUCCGAUUAGCUAGUUGGUGAGGUAAUGGCCCACCAAGGCGACGAUCGGUAGCCGGACUGAGAGGUUGAACGGCCACAUUGGGACUGAGACACGGCCCAGACUCCUACGGGAGGCAGCAGUGGGGAAUAUUGCACAAUGGGGGAAACCCUGAUGCAGCGACGCCGCGUGGAGGAAGAAGGUCUUCGGAUUGUAAACUCCUGUUGUUGAGGAAGAUAAUGACGGUACUCAACAAGGAAGUGACGGCUAACUACGUGCCAGCAGCCGCGGUAAAACGUAGGUCACAAGCGUUGUCCGGAAUUACUGGGUGUAAAGGGAGCGCAGGCGGGAAGACAAGUUGGAAGUGAAAUCCAUGGGCUCAACCCAUGAACUGCUUUCAAAACUGUUUUUCUUGAGUAGUGCAGAGGUAGGCGGAAUUCCCGGUGUAGCGGUGGAAUGCGUAGAUAUCGGGAGGAACACCAGUGGCGAAGGCGGCCUACUGGGCACCAACUGACGCUGAGGCUCGAAAGUGUGGGUAGCAAACAGGAUUAGAUACCCUGGUAGUCCACACCGUAAACGAUGAUUACUAGGUGUUGGAGGAUUGACCCCUUCAGUGCCGCAGUUAACACAAUAAGUAAUCCACCUGGGGAGUACGACCGCAAGGUUGAAACUCAAAGGAAUUGACGGGGGCCCGCACAA
rnacentral:rRNA from 1 species